GGGUUGUGAGGUUAAGCGACUAAGCGUACACGGUGGAUGCCCUGGCAGUCAGAGGCGAUGAAGGACGUGCUAAUCUGCGAAAAGCGUCGGUAAGGUGAUAUGAACCGUUACAGCCGGCGAUGUCCGAAUGGGGAAACCCAGUGUGAUUCGUCACACUAUCGUUAACUGAAUACAUAGGUUAACGAGGCGAACCGGGGGAACUGAAACAUCUAAGUACCCCGAGGAAAAGAAAUCAACCGAGAUUCCCCCAGUAGCGGCGAGCGAACGGGGAGCAGCCCAGAGUCUGAAUCAGCUUGUGUGUUAGUGGAACGGUCUGGAAAGUCCGACGGUACAGGGUGAUAGUCCCGUACACCAAAAUGCACAGGCUGUGAACUCGAAGAGUAGGGCGGGACACGUGGUAUCCUGUCUGAAUAUGGGGGGACCAUCCUCCAAGGCUAAAUACUCCUGACUGACCGAUAGUGAACCAGUACCGUGAGGGAAAGGCGAAAAGAACCCCGGCGAGGGGAGUGAAAAAGAACCUGAAACCGUGUACGUACAAGCAGUGGGAGCACCUUUAUGGUGUGACUGCGUACCUUUUGUAUAAUGGGUCAGCGACUUAUAUUCUGUAGCAAGGUUAACCGUAUAGGGGAGCCGCAGGGAAACCGAGUCUUAACUGGGCGUUAAGUUGCAGGGUAUAGACCCGAAACCCGGUGAUCUAGCCAUGGGCAGGUUGAAGGUUGGGUAACACUAACUGGAGGACCGAACCGACUAAUGUUGAAAAAUUAGCGGAUGACUUGUGGCUGGGGGUGAAAGGCCAAUCAAACCGGGAGAUAGCUGGUUCUCCCCGAAAGCUAUUUAGGUAGCGCCUCGUGAAUUCAUCUUCGGGGGUAGAGCACUGUUUCGGCUAGGGGGUCAUCCCGACUUACCAACCCGAUGCAAACUACGAAUACCGAAGAAUGUUAUCACGGGAGACACACGGCGGGUGCUAACGUCCGUCGUGAAGAGGGAAACAACCCAGACCGCCAGCUAAGGUCCCAAAGUCACAGUUAAGUGGGAAACGAUGUGGGAAGGCACAGACAGCCAGGAUGUUGGCUUAGAAGCAGCCAUCAUUUAAAGAAAGCGUAAUAGCUCACUGGUCGAGUCGGCCUGCGCGGAAGAUGUAACGGGGCUAAACUGUGCACCGAAGCUGCGGCAGCGACACUUAGGUGUUGUUGGGUAGGGGAGCGUUCUGUAAGCCUGCGAAGGUGGCCUGUGAGGGUUGCUGGAGGUAUCAGAAGUGCGAAUGCUGACAUAAGUAACGAUAAUGCGGGUGAAAAGCCCGCACGCCGGAAGACCAAGGGUUCCUGUCCAACGUUAAUCGGGGCAGGGUGAGUCGACCCCUAAGGCGAGGCCGAAAGGCGUAGUCGAUGGGAAACAGGUUAAUAUUCCUGUACUUGGUGUUACUGCGAAGGGGGGACGGAGAAGGCUAUGUUAGCCGGGCGACGGUUGUCCCGGUUUAAGCAUGUAGGCGGAGGUUCCAGGUAAAUCCGGUACCUUUUAACGCUGAGGUGUGAUGACGAGGCACUACGGUGCUGAAGUAACAAAUGCCCUGCUUCCAGGAAAAGCCUCUAAGCAUCAGGUAACAUUGAAUCGUACCCCAAACCGACACAGGUGGUCAGGUAGAGAAUACCAAGGCGCUUGAGAGAACUCGGGUGAAGGAACUAGGCAAAAUGGUGCCGUAACUUCGGGAGAAGGCACGCUGAUAUGUAGGUGAAGCCCCUGCGGGUGGAGCUGAAAUCAGUCGAAGAUACCAGCUGGCUGCAACUGUUUAUUAAAAACACAGCACUGUGCAAACACGAAAGUGGACGUAUACGGUGUGACGCCUGCCCGGUGCCGGAAGGUUAAUUGAUGGGGUUAUCCGUAAGGAGAAGCUCUUGAUCGAAGCCCCGGUAAACGGCGGCCGUAACUAUAACGGUCCUAAGGUAGCGAAAUUCCUUGUCGGGUAAGUUCCGACCUGCACGAAUGGCGUAAUGAUGGCCAGGCUGUCUCCACCCGAGACUCAGUGAAAUUGAACUCGCUGUGAAGAUGCAGUGUACCCGCGGCAAGACGGAAAGACCCCGUGAACCUUUACUAUAGCUUGACACUGAACAUUGAGCCUUGAUGUGUAGGAUAGGUGGGAGGCUUUGAAGCGUGGACGCCAGUCUGCGUGGAGCCAACCUUGAAAUACCACCCUUUAAUGUUUGAUGUUCUAACGUUGGCCCCUAAUCGGGGUUGCGGACAGUGUCUGGUGGGUAGUUUGACUGGGGCGGUCUCCUCCCAAAGAGUAACGGAGGAGCACGAAGGUUAGCUAAUCCUGGUCGGACAUCAGGAGGUUAGUGCAAUGGCAUAAGCUAGCUUGACUGCGAGCGUGACGGCGCGAGCAGGUGCGAAAGCAGGUCAUAGUGAUCCGGUGGUUCUGAAUGGAAGGGCCAUCGCUCAACGGAUAAAAGGUACUCCGGGGAUAACAGGCUGAUACCGCCCAAGAGUUCAUAUCGACGGCGGUGUUUGGCACCUCGAUGUCGGCUCAUCACAUCCUGGGGCUGAAGUAGGUCCCAAGGGUAUGGCUGUUCGCCAUUUAAAGUGGUACGCGAGCUGGGUUUAGAACGUCGUGAGACAGUUCGGUCCCUAUCUGCCGUGGGCGCUGGAGAAUUGAGGGGGGCUGCUCCUAGUACGAGAGGACCGGAGUGGACGCAUCACUGGUGUUCGGGUUGUCAUGCCAAUGGCAUUGCCCGGUAGCUAAAUGCGGAAGAGAUAAGUGCUGAAAGCAUCUAAGCACGAAACUUGCCCCGAGAUGAGUUCUCCCUGAGACUUUAAGUCUCCUGAAGGAACGUUAAAGACGAUGACGUUGAUAGGUCGGGUGUGUAAGCGUAGCGAUACGUUGAGCUAACCGAUACUAAUGAACCGUGAGGCUUAACCUUACAACGCCGAAG
rnacentral:rRNA from 1 species